rfam:Myotis lucifugus cont2.13871, whole genome shotgun sequence.
GGCCGUUUUUGGGUGACACACCCCAGAAUCAGGCUAUCUCCUCUCUGGUUCCAGGUGCGUCACCUGAGAACUGCA